AGAGUUUGAUCCUGGCUCAGAUUGAACGCUGGCGGAGUGCUUUACACAUGCAAGUCGAACGGCAGCACGGGGCAACCUGGUGGCGAGUGGCGAACGGGUGAGUAAUACAUCGGAACGUGCCCAAUCGUGGGGAUAACGUAGCGAAAGUUACGCUAAUACCGCAUACGAUCUACGGAUGAAAGCGGGGGAUCGCAAGACCUCGCGCGAAUGGAGCGGCCGAUGUCAGAUUAGGUAGUUGGUGGGGUAAAGGCUCACCAAGCCAACGAUCUGUAGCUGGUCUGAGAGGACGACCAGCCACACUGGAACUGAGACACGGUCCAGACUCCUACGGGAGGCAGCAGUGGGGAAUUUUGGACAAUGGGCGCAAGCCUGAUCCAGCCAUUCCGCGUGCAGGAUGAAGGCCUUCGGGUUGUAAACUGCUUUGUACGGAACGAAAAGGUCCUGGUUAAUACCUGGGGCUCAUGACGGUACCGUAAGAAUAAGCACCGGCUAACUACGUG
rnacentral:rRNA from 1 species